GGCUGCGUAGUCUAGUGGUAGGUUGCCUGACUGCUAACUGAAGAGUUCCUGGUUCAAGCCCUGGUGGAGUUU